AGCCUGCCCAGUGACUACGGGUUCAACGGCCGCGGUAUUUUGACCGUGCAAAGGUAGCGCAAUCACUUGUCUCUUAAAUAGAGACCUGUAUGAAUGGCUAGACGAGGGCUUAACUGUCUCCCCCCUCCAGUCAGUGAAAUUGAUCUAUCCGUGCAGAAGCGGGUAUAAUUAUACAAGACGAGAAGACCCUUUGGAGCUUAAGGUACAAAAUUCAACCACGUUAAACGACUCUGUAGGAAGCAAGAACUUAGUGGCAGAUGAAAUUUUACCUUCGGUUGGGGCGACCACGGAGGAGAAAGAAGCCUCCGAGUGGACUGGGCUAAACCCCAAAGCUAAGAGAGACAUCUCUAAGCCGCAGAACAUCUGACCAAGAAUGAUCCGACUGAAAGGCCGAUCAACGAACCAAGUUACCCUAGGGAUAACAGCGCAAUCCUCUCCCAGAGUCCAUAUCGACGAGGGGGUUUACGACCUCGAUGUUGGAUCAGGACAUCCUAAUGGUGCAGCCGCUAU
rnacentral:rRNA from 1 species